GGCUACCAUGCAGUCGAGGGGCAGCAUUUCAGUUUGCUUGCAAACUGGAGAUGGCGACCGGCGCACGGGUGAGUAACACGUAUCCAACCUGCCGAUAACUCGGGGAUAGCCUUUCGAAAGAAAGAUUAAUACCCGAUGGNAUAAUCAGACCGCAUGGUCUUAUUAUUAAAGAAUUUCGGUUAUCGAUGGGGAUGCGUUCCAUUAGGCAGUUGGUGAGGUAACGGCUCACCAAACCUUCGAUGGAUAGGGGUUCUGAGAGGAAGGUCCCCCACAUUGGAACUGAGACACGGUCCAAACUCCUACGGGAGGCAGCAGUGAGGAAUAUUGGUCAAUGGGCGCAGGCCUGAACCAGCCAAGUAGCGUGAAGGAUGACUGCCCUAUGGGUUGUAAACUUCUUUUAUAUGGGAAUAAAGUUUUCCACGUGUGGAAUUUUGUAUGUACCAUAUGAAUAAGGAUCGGCUAACUCCGUGCCAGCAGCCGCGGUAAUACGGAGGAUCCGAGCGUUAUCCGGAUUUAUUGGGUUUAAAGGGAGCGUAGGUGGACAGUUAAGUCAGUUGUGAAAGUUUGCGGCUCAACCGUAAAAUUGCAGUUGAUACUGGCUGUCUUGAGUACAGUAGAGGUGGGCGGAAUUCGUGGUGUAGCGGUGAAAUGCUUAGAUAUCACGAAGAACUCCGAUUGCGAAGGCAGCUCACUGGACUGCAACUGACACUGAUGCUCGAAAGUGUGGGUAUCAAACAGGAUUAGAUACCCUGGUAGUCCACACAGUAAACGAUGAAUACUCGCUGUUUGCGAUAUACAGUAAGCGGCCAAGCGAAAGCAUUAAGUAUUCCACCUGGGGAGUACGCCGGCAACGGUGAAACUCAAAGGAAUUGACGGGGGCCCGCACAAGCGAAGGAACAUGUGGUUUAAUUCGAUGAUACGCGAGGAACCUUACCCGGGCUUAAAUUGCAUUUGAAUANUUUGGAAACAGNUUAGCCGCAAGGCAAAUGUGAAGGUGCUGCAUGGUUGUCGUCAGCUCGUGCCGUGAGGUGUCGGCUUAAGUGCCAUAACGAGCGCAACCCUUAUCUUUAGUUACUAACAGGUCAUGCUGAGGACUCUAGAGAGACUGCCGUCGUAAGAUGUGAGGAAGGUGGGGAUGACGUCAAAUCAGCACGGCCCUUACGUCCGGGGCUACACACGUGUUACAAUGGGGGGUACAGAAGGCAGCUACCUGGUGACAGGAUGCUAAUCCCAAAAGCCUCUCUCAGUUCGGAUCGAAGUCUGCAACCCGACUUCGUGAAGCUGGAUUCGCUAGUAAUCGCGCAUCAGCCAUGGCGCGGUGAAUACGUUCCCGGGCCUUGUACACACCGCCCGUCAAGCCAUGAAAGCCGGGGGUACCUGAAGUACGAACCGCAAGGAGCUCCUAGGAAAC
rnacentral:rRNA from 1 species